GGCUGAGAGAAGAGUUUUCACGUUAAACCUGAAGAUAACACUUGCCGAUACUCUAUUAGUCAAGGGGUUAUAACUUGGAAAAGAGUUUAUUUCCAAUCCCGUUAGCAUUAACCCUAAAACAAUUGUUCAAUGUUUUCUUAUUUUGCAGGUACGAUUUCACUGUAAAAGGUACAAUAUCUAUUGAAACUAUCAUUAGCAGAUCAGUAAAGAGAAAUUCGAGGUUGGUAGUAUGAUUAAUUUGCGGUAUCCUGGCCUUUCUUUUUUCUCUGGCACAAGUACAAUUUUAUUCCCAUCAUGUACAGUUUAUCUUCUCCAUUUCAUGUUUGCUUUGUUUAAAUUGGGCAAUUUUUCUUUUGUUAAACUUAUAGAGUUGUGUUUUGGAUUUGGAGUUGUUUCACGGUAACAUUAAUCAUGCUAAUCGUGCGUGCAUGCGGAUCAUAUUCGUGAUAUUUCGAUAUCAUUAAUGCCUAUCAAUUAGUCAUGCGAGUGUAGAUCCAGAGACACCCGAAAUUGGUCAAAUUCAGGUGAAAUUGAAUGUAACAAACCACUACCAGGUACACUGCAACUUAUUCUCUCUCAAACACCAUCAAAGUUAAAAUGCAGUCUUAUUUUAUAUUUGUUUUUAAAUCCACUAAUCUUGCAAUUGCAAUGAUAAUACACGAAAUGCCGUUUCUAGAAAUGCGUAAAAUGCAUUACACCUUCAAUAAGGUUGCACAAUAAUGAGCUAUUUGUUUUCUAACUUACUGUUCCUAAGCUUCGCAAAUGUGGAUUUCUCAAAAGGUUUUCGGCUUGGAUGGGUUAUUUUAACAACAGAC